rnacentral:lncRNA from 10 species
ACUUAUUAUAGUAGUCCACAGUACCAUUUGGAAAUUUACAUGCUUUGUAGGAAAAAUCAUUUUGCCUAAUAGAUUAUUAAAAGAUCAGGGACAUACUUUGUUCCAGCCAGUAUAUGAGACAACUCUCCUUACAGGAGCUACUUGUCCACACAUCAUCUGUUGAUCCACAAAUUUGCAGAUUAUUGCCAUUAUCCAAUAUUAUACAAGGGUCCAGGUGUUCAUUUGUGCAUAGGUUUGGGAAGGACCAUGUGUGAUUAAACACCUGUUUUGGUGUUAUUAAACUGAGCAAAUCAUCCAGAGCAAACCCAGCAAUCAGUCUUGUAUAGAUGGGCAAUGGCUGAUUCUGUAAGGGACAAAGAAGGUGAGGCAUUGCUACAUCUAACAGUGGAUGUUAGUAAACUUGAUAGUAACAAAAUCUUCAUGUUUAUCUCAUAUGUGUGACUAUUAUUCUUGCUGUAAGAAUCAUAACUAAGCAAAAGAUUAUGGCAAAUGAGAUUAUUUAUUCUAUAUUCUACUCAGAGGGUGCAACAGUACAUAGUCUACUGCAAAGAACAGAGUUAGUACCACAAUUCUUGCAAAUAUGAUGUAAUUAAGUUCCAGUUAAAAUCUUACUCACCAAGAUAUAUAUAAUUUCUGUUGAAUUUCAUUUUGGAAAUUAUGAAUGUAAUUCCAUGGAUAAUUAAAACAUUUUUGUUAAGUAUACAUCAAAGAGAAGUUCUAAUAUCUGAUGGCAAAUCUCAAGAGGAAAGGUGGGAUUGAACUAAACAGGUAAUUCUCUCUAAAUAUGUGCUUAUUUUUUGUAAUUUUCAGUUUGAUAUCCUUUACUUCUUCACUCUGAUAUCUGAGAUGUUCUUGUAGCCUAUUAGGUGUCACUCUUGCUGUGUUCCAGGCUUUGACUCAAGUGUAUCCAAGAGUCAAAGUGACCCCAAAAGUUAAAUCCCACAGCCUUCACCUCUGAGGGGGGUGGAGAGAAGGAGAGAAGGAGACUGUGACUUCCCUCCCAGCUGGGAACAAGGAGCCUUCACCAGUACCAAAUCUCCUGAGUUGAACAAAGAGUCUCAAUUUGUCACCCAGGAUCCAGUGCAGUAGCACAAUCUUGGCUCACUGCAACCUCCAUGUCCUGAAUUCAAGCGAUUUUACUGCCUCAGCCAUCCAAGCAUCUGAGAUCAUAUGUAUGCUACCAAGAGUGGCUAAUUUUUGUAUUUUUCAUAGAGAUGGGGUAUCACCAUGGUGACUAGGCUAAUCUCAAACUCCUGGCCUCAAGAGAUCCACCUGCCUCAGGGUCCCACAGUGCUUGGAUUACAGGAGUGAGUCACCAUAGCCAACCUGUUUGACAAUU